GUCCCUAUCGUCUAGCGGCUAGGACAUAGCCCUUUCACGGCUAUAACGUGAGUUCAAUUCUCACUGGGGAUA
rnacentral:tRNA from 2 species